CUGGUUGAUCCUGCCAGAGGUUACUGCUAUCGAGGUUCGACUAAGCCAUGCGAGUCGAAUGUAGCAAUACAUGGCGUACUGCUCAGUAACACGUGGACAACCUGCCCUUAGGUCGGGUAUAAACCCGGGAAACUGGGUAUAAUCCCCGAUAGGUCUCGGCUGCUGGAAUGCAUCGAGAUUUAAAGCUCCGGCGCCUAAGGAUGGGUCUGCGGCCUAUCAGGUAGUAGUGGGUGUAGCGUACCUACUAGCCUACGACGGGUACGGGUUGUGAGAGCAAGAGCCCGGAGAUGGAUUCUGAGACACGAAUCCAGGCCCUACGGGGUGCAGCAGGCGCGAAAACUUUACAAUGCUGGCAACAGCGAUAAGGGAACCUCGAGUGCCAGGUUACAAAUCUGGCUGUCGAGAUGCCUAAAAAGCAUUUCAUAGCAAGGGCCGGGCAAGACCGGUGCCAGCCGCCGCGGUAACACCGGCGGGUCGAGUGGUAACCGUUAUUAUUGGGUCUAAAGGGUCUGUAGCCGGCCGGAUAAGUCUCUUGAGAAAUCUGGCAGCUUAACUGUCAGGCUUUCAGGAGAUACUGUCUGGCUCGAGGCCGGGAGAGGUGAGAGGUACUUCAGGGGUAGGGGUGAAAUCUUGUAAUCCUUGAAGGACCACCAGUGGCGAAGGCGUCUCACCAGAACGGACCUGACGGCAAGGGACGAAAGCUAGGGGCACGAACCGGAUUAGAUACCCGGGUAGUCCUAGCCGUAAACGAUACUCGCUAGGUGUCGGCCACGGUGCGACCGUUGUCGGUGCCGUAGGGAAGCCGUGAAGCGAGCCACCUGGGAAGUACGGCCGCAAGGCUGAAACUUAAAGGAAUUGGCGGGGGAGCACCAC
rnacentral:rRNA from 1 species